CAUGAAUUGUUUUUGCUUUUGGGGUGGAUUAUUAACUAGAUUAUUAACUUUCCAACAGGUGAGCGGUAAAUGGGGAGACAGAAGAUUAGGAUAAACAAUGGUUGGUCCUUUCUCUUCCCUAUCAUCCUCCCUCCAACUCAACCAUAAGUGAAGGUUUGGAGAGGGUUGGAUAGGAGAGGAGUAAACCUUACCCUUAUCCAGGAGCUUAUGAGAGAGGAGGUCAAAGGCUUCAUUGGGAAAGGAGCAGUCUCAACAGUCUCGCCAGAAAUCCCUGUAUUGAAGUGAGGAGAUCAACCUCAGUGGGGGAUCAACCCAGAAACAUGACAUUGAAUCCAGAGAGGCUGAGGCUCGCAUUGCAGAGAAGACUAUGGGCAUCUACACUGUCUGAGCAGAGGGACAUUGUUCUGAUUGUCCAGGUGAUGGACGCUUUGCUGAUGUUGGUGUUGUGCUGGAUGGCCUGGACGUUCUCCUUAACCUGAAGAGUGUCAGCCAUGCAUGCGUGCUGCUUUAUGGGCAGAUUUAUGCACUCAACUUGAGCUAUCCAAAAAGCCUGAAGCGUACAUUUGAGGUGUACCAGAAAACCCUGAUUGACCUGGACUCAACUAAGCUUACACCAAAAGUGCAUGCACUGAAACUCAAAUUGUUCCAGUCAUUCGGUUGGCAAAUACCACCUCCCCCACACACAGUAAGACCGGAUUUUGUUAAAAUGGUCCCUUGGUUCUUGAAGGUUACGCCAGGGAAAUAGCUGUUUAAUAAAUUUGUACCUUGGUUGUCGAAGCAUUCAAAUUUUGUUGAAAGAUCAGUUAUGUAGAUAUGAAAAACUGUUCAUUGAUUCAGGGAAAAUUGUAGGAAAGGAGGCAAACCUCUCCCUCUCUUCUACCCUCUGCCUUCUCCACUCACCUCCUCUCUCUGAGCUCCUGUAGGGGUAAGGUUUACUCCUCUCCUAUCCAACCCUCUCCAAACCUUCUCAUUGGGGAUGGGUAUUUUCCAGAUUUUUUUUCAACACCUCAUUGGUAGAAUCCGCAGAGCCCUGACAUCUAAAACGAGGCAUUAAUAACUUUUAAAAAUGCACAAGUUUAUUUAAAACAAAGUUUACAAGUUUUUACUACUGCCAAAGUCAAUUUUACACUGGAGUUCUCCAUGUUUGUUAAACAAUAUUUGUUAAACAAAAAAGUACUUCAGUAAUAUUGAAGGAAAAUUUUUGACAAACUUGGGUCAAAAGUAUGACUGAUGUGAUUUUAAGAAAUUAUAAUUUUGUGUCUCUUUUAUGUUCGGCUUUAUUAUUAAUAAAGCUUUGUUUAAUCAACAAGAGGGUCUGAU